AUUGAACGCUGGCGGCAGGCCUAACACAUGCAAGUCGAACGGUAACAGGAAGAAGCUUGCUUCUUUGCUGACGAGUGGCGGAUGGGUGAGUAAUGUCUGGGAAACUGCCUGAUGGAGGGGGAUAACUACUGGAAACGGUAGCUAAUACCGCAUAACGUCGCAAGACCAAAGAGGGGGACCUUCGGGCCUCUUGCCAUCGGAUGUGCCCAGAUGGGUUUAGCUAGUAGGUGGGGUAACGGCUCACCUAGGCGACGAUCCCUAGCUGGUCUCAGAGGAUGACCAGCCACACUGGAACUGAGACACGGUCCAGACUCCUACGGGAGGCAGCAGUGGGGAAUAUUGCACAAUGGGCGCAAGCCUGAUGCAGCCAAGCCACGUGUAUGAAGAAGACCUUCGGGUUGUAAAGUACUUUCAGCGGGGAGGAAGGGAGUAAAGUUAAUACCUUUGCUCAUUGACGUUACCCGCAGAAGAAGCACCGGCUAACUCCGUG
rnacentral:rRNA from 1 species